rnacentral:rRNA from 1 species
AUUGAACGCUGGCGGCAGGCCUAACACAUGCAAGUCGAGCGGAGCGGCGGACGGGUGCGUAAUGCCUAGGAAUCUGCCUGGUAGUGAGGGAGAACGACCGGAAACGGGCGCUAAUACCGCAUACUAUCAGAUGAGCCUGGGGCGGUUUAGCUAGUUGGUGGGGUAAAGGCUUACCAAGGCGACGAUCCGUAACUGGUCUGAGAGGAUGAUCAGUCACACGGGAACUGAGACACGGUCCAGACUCCUACGGGAGGCAGCAGUGGGGAAUAUUGGACAAUGGGCGAAAGCCUGAUCCAGCCAUGCCGCGUGUGUGAAGAAGGUCUUCGGAUUGUAAAGCACUUUCAGUUGGGAGGCGUUACCAACAGAAUAAGCACCGGCUAACUUCGUGCCAGCAGCCGCGGUAAUUC